GACAGCAGCAGCCGCGGGAAUACGUAGGUCCCGAGCGUUGUCCGGAUUUAUUGGGCGUAAAGGGAGCGCAGGCGGUUUAGUAAGUCUGAAGUUAAAGGCAUUGGCUCAACCAGUGUAUGCUUUGGAAACUGGGAAACUUGAGUGCAGAAGAGGAGAGUGGAAUUCCACGUGUAGCGGUGAAAUGCGUAGAGAUGUGGAGGAACACCAGUGGCGAAGGCGACUCUCUGGUCUGUAACUGACGCUGAGGAGCGAAAGCGUGGGGAGCGAACAGGAUUAGAUACCCCGGUAGUCCCUGUCUCUUAUACC
rnacentral:rRNA from 1 species